rnacentral:tRNA from 1 species
CGGGGCGUGGCUCAGCCCGGAUAGAGUGCGCGGUUCGGGAUCGCGAGGUCGGAGGUUCAAAUCCUCUCGCCCCGACUA